AAUUCUAAGAGAAAUAUGUCGCUUGGAGAAAGCCCUUUAAUUUUAAAAAAAAGUAUAUAUUUUGCUAAUAACUAAAGUAAAAACAGAUAAAACCAAGAGAACAUGGCCAUCAUUGUUCAAGGCCUCAUACUCUCUGAUGCAAAAAGGGUACAUGUGCAGGAUGUGCAGGUUUGUUACAUAGGUGAACGUGUGCCAUGGUGGUUUGCCGCACCUAUCAACCCAUCACCUAGCCUAAACAGUGACAGAACCAAGCUUUCAGCACUUCACCUUUCUAUGCUUCCAGUGAAAAUGGUGAUAAAGUGAAGGACAUGCUCCAGGGAAUCUGCUGAUGUCUCCAAAAUGUCAUCGGCAAAGCGGCGGAGAAAAAUGAGAAAAUCACCCA